rnacentral:tRNA from 1 species
GGGAAUGAUUGCGAGGCUGGUGCCCGUCGCGGUCUUCAAAACCGUUGUCCCGGUGUGAGCCGGGAGCUGGGUUCGAUUCCCAGGCGUUCCCGCCA